rnacentral:rRNA from 1 species
GUCGUACGCUUCUUUUUCCACCGGAGCUUGCUCCACCGGAAAAAGAGGAGUGGCGAACGGGUGAGUAACACGUGGGUAACCUGCCCAUCAGAAGGGGAUAACACUUGGAAACAGGUGCUAAUACCGUAUAACAAUCGAAACCGCAUGGUUUUGAUUUGAAAGGCGCUUUCGGGUGUCGCUGAUGGAUGGACCCGCGGUGCAUUAGCUAGUUGGUGAGGUAACGGCUCACCAAGGCCACGAUGCAUAGCCGACCUGAGAGGGUGAUCGGCCACAUUGGGACUGAGACACGGCCCAAACUCCUACGGGAGGCAGCAGUAGGGAAUCUUCGGCAAUGGACGAAAGUCUGACCGAGCAACGCCGCGUGAGUGAAGAAGGUUUUCGGAUCGUAAAACUCUGUUGUUAGAGAAGAACAAGGAUGAGAGUAACUGUUCAUCCCUUGACGGUAUCUAACCAGAAAGCCACGGCUAACUACGUGCCAGCAGCCGCGGUAAUACGUAGGUGGCAAGCGUUGUCCGGAUUUAUUGGGCGUAAAGCGAGCGCAGGCGGUUUCUUAAGUCUGAUGUGAAAGCCCCCGGCUCAACCGGGGAGGGUCAUUGGAAACUGGGAGACUUGAGUGCAGAAGAGGAGAGUGGAAUUCCAUGUGUAGCGGUGAAAUGCGUAGAUAUAUGGAGGAACACCAGUGGCGAAGGCGGCUCUCUGGUCUGUAACUGACGCUGAGGCUCGAAAGCGUGGGGAGCAAACAGGAUUAGAUACCCUGGUAGUCCACGCCGUAAACGAUGAGUGCUAAGUGUUGGAGGGUUUCCGCCCUUCAGUGCUGCAGCUAACGCAUUAAGCACUCCGCCUGGGGAGUACGACCGCAAGGUUGAAACUCAAAGGAAUUGACGGGGGCCCGCACAAGCGGUGGAGCAUGUGGUUUAAUUCGAAGCAACGCGAAGAACCUUACCAGGUCUUGACAUCCUUUGACCACUCUAGAGAUAGAGCUUCCCCUUCGGGGGCAAAGUGACAGGUGGUGCAUGGUUGUCGUCAGCUC